ACUUAGAAAUCAUGGAGGGGUCAUGGAGAACAGGUAGCAGCACCCAAUUUUAAAGAUGACCUCCAGUAAAAGAAGUAAUAUUUGGCUUCAUUUUGAGGAGGCUGGACCUAAUUAGGCAAAAUGCAAGUUUUGCAACAAUAUUUUGUCAGGCCAAGGAGGAACAACAUCAAAUUAUAGAUGUCAUCUCCAAGUAAAGCAUCCAACUGCAUUGCUUAUGCAAGUGAGACAAGAGGAUCCUAUGGAAUCUACACCAGCCUCAGGUAGUAGUGCUUCUGUGACUGCAGUCUUCUCUAAUACUGGCUCUACGGCAUCCACAUCUGGAACUGGCACCAGUGUCCAACUAACAAGACAAAGUCAAAUUACAAGCUUUCUGAGAACACCAAUUGGCCCUAUCAGACAAAACAAUUAGGAUGAGGAACUAGUUAAAAUGAUUACAGCAGAUUGACAACCUUUCUCAAUUGUUACCGACACAGGAUUUAGAAGAUUUGUGAAGGCACUUGAUCCAUCAUAUGUUUUACCAAACAGAAAGACCACAGCUUUACAACAAAAUGAAAGAAGAGCUGAUGGUAAAAGUCAGCAAUGCCGCUGCUGUGUGUCUGACCACUGAUUGCUGGACAUCACGAACAACUACCAGUUUUAUGGCAGUCACUUGUCAUUUUAUUGAUGAAGAUUUUACAAUUUCAUCAUCUCUUCAGGACUGCUACUCAUUUACAGACAGACACACUGCUGACAACCUAGCACUGAACUUGUGGAAAAUCACAAACAAAGUUGUUGCUUGUGUUUCUGACAAUGGCAGCAACAUAAAAGCAUCCAUUCGGAAAGCUGAAUGGAGGCACUUGCCAUGCUUUGCCCAUUUACUUUAAACCUUAUUGUAAGGGAAAGCUUGAAACACAUUCAAGAGACAGUUGCAAAAGUGAAGAAUGUUGUUGAAUAUGUCAACAGAAGCACCGUUGCCACAGAAAGAUCAAAAGCAACACAAAAACAAAUGGGCCUUGAAGAGCUUAGGCUCAAGCAGGAUGUAAUAACAAGAUGGAACUCUACUUAUUACAUGCUGAAAAGAUUUUGGCUGCAGAAGGAAGCAAUCAUUGCUACACUUGCCCUGGUUAACCCCAACCUUCCAACACUGACACUUGAUGAACGGGACAUAAUUAAAAAUAUAUGUGACUGCAUCCAAGGUCAUUUUGAUGUCAAGGGGACUGCAAAAAGUUGUCCAGCGAUUGAGGGGUGCUGUGUUUAACCAUGGCCCAGUUACUGCAAUGAUAGACUCAUUGGCUGAAGACAUGCAAAGGCGCUUUCACCAAAUUGAGCAUUUUCGUCUUUAUUCUGAGGCAACGCUGCUUGACCCCAGAUUUAAACAAAAGGCAUUUCAUGAUGCAGCAGUUGCAGACAAAGCAGCCAAAAGCAUAACUGCUGCUGCGGCAAGGGUUUGGUCCAGAACCGAAGAGCAAACUCAAGCCGAGCGCACAGCUCCUUCUUCAUCUGAACAAGUGUCUUCAAUCUGGAAGGAUUUUUAUGAGAGAGUGUCUGAUGCAGUCAGCAUCAGCAACCCAACAUCCACUGCAAUGGCAUCAAUGCGAGGUUAUCUUGCAGAGACCUUAAUUCCCAGAACAGAAGACCCACUGGCAUGGCGGAAAUCAUUUAUUAUAAAUUCUACUUGUGAAAGUGUCAUGAUUUACUCUAGUAAUAGUAAAUUUAUUCCUUCCUUUUAAACAAUCAGCUGGUUUUAAGGAAAAACAAGGAAUCACAUUUUUGUGCAGCAUCCAUGAUUAUGAUCAUACAAAUCCAUCUGGUGAAAAAGUGUUGAACACAUGAAGAAAGGCAGGUGAAAAAAGGCAUGGAAGUCGAGACACCAGCUGAAAUCAAUCAGUAAUUAGAAAGCAGUCCUGCCCCGUGUCAGUGAAAAUCAAUAUCAGCUGCUUCAGUCCCAACUAAUGGCCUGUAUAAAGAUCUCAUUACCAAGGUGUCACACAAGAAACAUCUCAUGAUGGGUAAAAGUGAAGAGCUCUCUCAAGACCUUCACAACCUUAUUGUUGCAAAACAUACUAAUGGCAAUGGUUACACAAGGAUUUCCAAACUUCUGAAUGUUCCAGCGAGAACUGUUAGGAUCAUAAUCCAGAAGUAGAAAGAACAUCAUCUCACCAUAAAGCAGCCAUGACCAGGUGCUCCUUACAAGAUUUUAGACAGAGGAGCAAAAAGAAUAUCAGAAGAGUUGUCCAAGAGCCAAGGACCACUUGUGGAGAGCUUCAGAAAGACCUGGAAUUAGCAGCUACAACUGUUUAGAAGAAAAGCCCCUGCUGCAAAGAAGGGAGACCUGACCCAGCUGAAGAACUGGUGCCCAGUGUCACUACUGUACUGUACUGUACUGUAUAGGCUCCUCCCCCUCUGAUCAGCACCAAUGAUGACGAAGAACAAUCAUUAAGGCAGAGCUACUCUUAAUUAUUUCAUCUCAUAAAUAUUUCUGGUUUUGAUACGGUUCUUAUGACCUUCGUUACACUAGCAACAAGUACACGCUUGUAAAGAGGAAUGCCUGUCAAGAGGACCACAUCUAUGUGAUGAGACUGUUUGUUGCCUAGUAAUGUCAGAAAUCUAUCUAAACCCACCCACUUCAUGACAGAGUGGAAAGACUUUAUUGGGAAGUAAUAUAU